GAUGAACGCUGGCGGCGUGCUUAACACAUGCAAGUCGAACGGGAAAUAUUUCAUUGAGACUUCGGUGGAUUUGAUCUAUUUCUAGUGGCGGACGGGUGAGUAACGCGUGGGUAACCUGCCUUAUGCAGGGGGAUAACAGUCAGAAAUGGCUGCUAAUACCGCAUAAGCGCACAGAGCUGCAUGGCUCGGUGUGAAAAACUCCGGUGGUAUAAGAUGGACCCGCGUUGGAUUAGCUUGUUGGUGGGGUAACGGCCCACCAAGGCGACGAUCCAUAGCCGGCCUGAGAGGGUGAACGGCCACAUUGGGACUGAGACACGGCCCAGACUCCUACGGGAGGCAGCAGUGGGGAAUAUUGCACAAUGGGGGAAACCCUGAUGCAGCGACGCCGCGUGAAGGAAGAAGUAUCUCGGUAUGUAAACUUCUAUCAGCAGGGAAGAUAGUGACGGUACCUGACUAAGAAGCCCCGGCUAACUACGUGCCAGCAGCCGCGGUAAUACGUAGGGGGCAAGCGUUAUCCGGAUUUACUGGGUGUAAAGGGAGCGUAGACGGUGUGGCAAGUCUGAUGUGAAAGGCAUGGGCUCAACCUGUGGACUGCAUUGGAAACUGUCAUACUUGAGUGCCGGAGGGGUAAGCGGAAUUCCUAGUGUAGCGGUGAAAUGCGUAGAUAUUAGGAGGAACACCAGUGGCGAAGGCGGCUUACUGGACGGUAACUGACGUUGAGGCUCGAAAGCGUGGGGAGCAAA
rnacentral:rRNA from 1 species